CGUCUGCCGGCGACAUUGGUUUCGCCAUUUUGUUAACCUGGUCGUUCGUCUUGUGUAUGAGUGGUUUGUGUUUUUGUCACAUCGUGGCUUAGGUGACAAAUGGUGCAAGUCUGUUGGUACUGAUGUAAAUUUUUUAAAAUUUUGAUGUUUCUUGG